GCCAAAGGGGACCCCCGCUAAAAUGCAUAUACUUAUAUAGCAAAUAUCGGGAUUUUCAUUUUCCGCGGAACUUUCACUUUCCGCGAAAAACCAAGGCCAGCAUAGCCAUAAAAUACUGCAUACAAAUCGAAAUCUAAAAAGCGCGGAACUUUCAUAUAUUUUCCGUCGGAACAAUUAUCUUUCAACCCUGUAGAGAAUGCGGGCUCAAAUAAUCGCGCGGAACCUUAAUAUUAUCUACUCUGUACAAAUAGUAGUGUAUAAAAUCGCGCGGACCUAAUCCACAAAGCGCGGAACACAAAUAUCUUCCGCGAAAAUUAAGCAUUGAAUUACUGUACAAAUCUCGGGUUGCUAUGUAAAUUGCGGGUUGCUAAUGUAAAAUCGCGCGGAAGAUUCAUUACUCCGCGCGAUUUUCAAUAGCAUUGAAUUACUGCACGAAAUUCGGGUUGCUAUGUGGUUACGCGAUAAAAUUUGAUUGGUUCCGACACCUAGAAAGAACCAAUCAAAACUCGCGUCUUAUCCAGCAUUCAUGCAGUCAUCAUGAUGACGGUUGUUUCACAUUAACACAAAACCUUUUAAGGGCGAAAGAGUGAUCAAUUUUGAUGACAUUAGCGAUGAGCUGUAGCAGUGUUCCCAACUUGAACAUCAUCUUCUGUGUACAUAUCUGAGGCAGAGCCAGCUUGCCCAUCUGACCUCUGUUGUGGACAACCGAGUAAGAGCCAGCUUGCAUGUCAUCUGUUGUGGACAUCCGUGUUAGAGCCAGCUUGCACGUCCUCUAUUGUGGACAUCAGUGUUAGUGCUAGCUUGCAUGUCAUCUGUUGUGAACAUCCGUGUAAGAGCCAGCUUGCACGUCAUCUCUUUUGGACAUCAGUGUUAGAGCCAGCUUACACAUCCUCUGUUGUGGACAUCCGUGUAAGUGCUAGCUUGCACAUAAUCUGUUGUGGACAUCUGUGUUAGAGCCAGCUUGCACGUCAUAUGUUUAGGACAUCAGUCAGAGAUAGCUUGCAUGUUAUAUACUUGUGGACAUUAGUCAGAGCCAGCAAGGACAAUCUCUGUUGUGGAUAUCUGUCUUAGAGCUUGCACGUCAUCGGUUGUUCACAUCCUUGUAAUAACCAGCUUGCACAUCAACUGAUGUGGAAAUCUGAGUCAGAGCCAGCUUGCACAUCAUCCGUUGUGGACAUCUCUUUAUGAUUCUACUCUUUGCUUAGAUUGACACUGUGACUUUAGUGUAAUAUGUUACAACCUUAAGCUAUUCCUAUUGUUGAAUAAAAAUAUUGUGUCAUUAAAAUAUAUUUUGUUGGAUAAUUUGUAUGUUGAGUUGUAUUGUUUGGUCAUUGCAAAGUAUCAAGUUAUUUUAAGACAAGACAAGGGACAAAAUUGUCACAAAACCAGGUUUUCAUUGUGAAAAAAAAAUCUGAUAAAGGGAGAAAACUAAAACUGAACUUUUGAAAUGAACAAACAAAAUUAACCCCUUUGUAAGUUUGUUUAAAAUUUUUUUAUAUUUUUAGUCGUGGCGACCUUGACAUUGGAGAUAUUGACGUGAUUCUUUCGUGCGACACACCGUCCCAUGAUGGUGAACAAAUGUGCCAAAUGAUUUUAAAAUCUCACAAUGAAUGACAUAGUUAUGGCCAGGACAAGCUCAUUUAUGGCCAUUUUUGACCUUUGAACUCAAAGUGUGACCUUGACCUUGGAGAUAUCGACGUAAUUAUUUCGCGCGACACACCGUCCAAUGAUGGUGAACAAAUGUGCCAAAUGAUUUUAAAAUCUGACAAUGAACGACAUAGUUAUGGAUCGGACAAGCUUGUUCCGCCAGCCCGCCAGCCAGCCAGCCAGCCCGCCCGCAUUCGCCAAUCUAAUAACCAGUUUUUUCCUUCGGAAAACCUGGUUAAAAAAGCUCAUCUUUCAUCAUGUAUUUAUAUUAAAAUUCUUGAAUGUUAGUGAAGGUACAGUUCAUAUAAUUAAAAGCAAUUUUAAUAUGAUUGCUUGUGUUUUAUUGCAAAGUGAAUACCAUCUUGUCUUUAUGCUGACAUAUAGAACGGAAAAAUAGUAAACUGUCGUUUUUAUAUGCAAUGGGAUUGUAUAUGAAGACUUGCAUGUUCAGAUGAAAAAAUUGCCAUAAUUUUUCUCUUUAUAUUUUAUUCCUGCUAAAUGGUUGAUGCAAUAAAGUUAAGUCUUUAA